AUUUUAUUUUGAAAAGACGCAAAGCGGUCGUUUUCCUGUUCGUCUUCCUGUUUAGCUGUCUGCUUCGCGGUUGUUUCAUCUCCAUGAUAGAGAAAAUAUCCACGAAGUUUUAAGAGGACGGAAAUGUGCGUCGUGGUAGUGAGGAAGCCAUGACAGACGUAGCUUGUGAGAAAACGGCGCCAUUUCCAGCGUUCCUGAGUGUAAAAUAGCUGAAAACGCAGCUUGGUGGGAAGCCAGAAACGCAAGCACUCCUGCAAAGGUAAAGGAUGAGGAGUCAGAGCUACUUGGACAAGAUUUACAGCAGGCAGCUUGUCGUAGUGUGAAAUAUUAGUCUGCACCAGAUGUAACCCGAGAACACGAGGUCUGAAGGAAGCAACAGGCACAAUCCAAGACACGAUCUUAAUGCAAUCGUACUCAUAUGUAUACAGUCAGAGCGCUUCAUCCAGGCCACAGAGUGCAAGAAAGCAGAGCCACGAUUUAACAAUCCAAACACAAAAAAGUAAGGCACAAGGUCACAAACAUACAGACUACACAAACACUCCGGAUGGAAUUAGGAAUGCUGGGUAAUCUCAUGAGACAAUCUGGAUAGAAAAGUCUGUUUUUACUAGAGACAAAGCAGGAGAGGCUGAUUACAAUGACCUCAACACAACAUCUAAAGUAAGACAUAAAAAUAAGGAUUUUGACUUUUUCUGUGUUCCGGAUCGUAGGGUAAGGUCACAUUAUCCACGAUCCGAGUGUUUAUGUUUAAUCAGAAGACUAACUCAGAACCCGAAAGCUCUGAUCAGACACAAACAAACAUCCAAAUGUUUGUUCAGCACCAAAUGAGGUUGUGUUGAUAAAAAAUGAGCGCAUCAAAGUAAAUCAACUCUGUCCUGGAAUGUUUUUGAUAAAACCAUGGAAUUGCAUUCUGUUGAUGACCCGCUGAAUCCACAAAAGUGCGUUACAUUUAACCAAACGCUAUACAAACGGGUGAAGUAGACAUUUAUAAUAUGACUUUUUAAGUUUGUGCAGAAAGUCAUUUUUGUUCAUUUUUAUUUUCUCGUGAGAGGUCUGCAAAUGCCUGCUGACAGUGGUUUGUAAAGGGAGUUUUCCCACUAUCAUUUUCACAACUAUGCCAAAAACAGCAGAGGUUGUGUUGUGCUGUUUUGUACCUUCUCAUCUCAGAUAAUUAAACAAUUCCUGAGUUUGAAAUCGCACCACAAAGAGAUGAGGAACAAAAACAAUACAGAAAUGAGAGGAAUGAGCACAGAAAGGAGAAAUUCUUCAGAAAUUGUUGUUUAAUCCACGUAUAGUAGCUGUUAACCACAACAGCAGACGCACUUAGAAAUUUCACCAUGCAGGCAAAUUCUGGGACAGCCAAACCUGUUCUCAGAUAUGUGGGAAAUGGAGGUUUUGACAGUUAGAUCAUGUUUUCUGUUCAUUUUAACAACAUACCUGAAUAUUUACUAGUGCUGCCACAAACGAUUAUUUUAAUAGUCGACUAAAUGGGUCAUGUGCAAAGUGGAUGAAAAACACCUCCAAUGGGUCUCCGAUGUUAAAUAGUUAAAGGCAGCCAUUUCCAUAAAAAAAAAUAAAAUAUAAAAA